ACGCGCGGAACCUUACCAGGUCUUGACAUCCCGCUGACCGCUAUGGAGACAUAGCUUUCCCUUCGGGGACAGCGGUGACAGGUGGUGCAUGGUUGUCGUCAGCUCGUGUCGUGAGAUGUUGGGUUAAGUCCCGCAACGAGCGCAACCCUUGUUCUUAGUUGCCAUCAUUAAGUUGGGCACUCUAAGGUGACUGCCGGUGACAAACCGGAGGAAGGUGGGGAUGACGUCAAAUCAUCAUGCCCCUUAUGACCUGGGCUACACACGUGCUACAAUGGAUGGUACAAAGGGCAGCAAAGCGGUGACGCCUAGCAAAUCCCAUAAAACCAUUCUCAGUUCGGAUUGUAGGCUGCAACUCGCCUACAUGAAGCUGGAAUCGCUAGUAAUCGCGGAUCAGCAUGCCGCGGUGAAUACGUUCCCGGGCCUUGCACACACCGCCCGU
rnacentral:rRNA from 1 species